CCGGCCAACUUUCCCCAGUUUUCUAAUCUAGAAAAUGGGGUAAUGGGGUUAGCAGUGUGUACCUCACAUAUUUCUUGUGAGAUUUAAGCAAAAUGUAAAAUUCACUUACACUGCCUGGCAUAAACUGUAUGCCCAAUAGCUAUUAGCUAUUAUUAGCAUUACCUGUUAUUCUCAUCUCUUACUACUCUGCUCAAGGCACUUAAAACACUAAGCUCAUGAUUGUUAAGAAGGAAACAUGUUAGAAUCAUUUGAGGAGCCUUUCCUCUACCUGGAAUGCCCCUCCUUUCCUAGAGAACUCCUCAUCCAUCAAGGUCUAGCCCAGAUGUCUCUCUCAUGAGUUUGUAUUGUACUCUCCCAGGCAGAAUGAAUUUCUUCCUCCACAAUAUUCCCAUAAGCUAAGAUAUCUCUAACAGACUCUACGGCAAAUCUUUGUUUACUUUUCCACCUUAAAACCAGGAUACAAACCACAAAAAGACACAGACUGUGUUUCACUAUUCAUUCAACAAACACUGCCUGACUGACUACUAUAAGACAAAAAAGGGUCCCAAUAAAAAAACAAAUCCCUGUCCUUGAUAAAUCUAUAAAGAUAUUCAAUAGCUGUUUGUUGAAUGAGUGAACUUAUGAUACUUAAUUCCAGCAUGACUGUAAAUGAAUGUAAACCAGUGACCCAGAAUCAAAUACUUCAAUUAUCUUAACAAUAUAAUGGAGUCACAGUACAUUUAAUCUAUUGGAGUUGAACCACGUGUCUAUGUUUACUUGGAAGGGAAGAAAGGAGAAAGGACAAAAUCCUAUUUUCCCUAACAUCUUUUCCCUCUUUCAACUAGACUGUGGCCACAGGCAAGUGUGGGGUCGUAGCCCAUAAGCAAAGAGAAAUUUACAUCAAUUUCUGGCUUCAGAGCUUUCAUGGAUGCACUUCUUGGUGACUUGGGGAUUUUCAAGGGUAAUUUUACAAAAUGUUUUCUCCUUAUUGUCUGACUUGAGAUCCUACCCCUCACGUAAGUUGUAGUUGCCAUAUAACUAAUGUUAAAGCAAUUUCAUAAAUUGCCAGUAGACUAGGGUACAAAAACAAUCAAACAGGUGCUCUCAUGAAACAUAACGAAAUGUUCCAUUUAAAGAAAAACUCCCGGUUAGACAAGAGCUGUACAAGACGAGGGUCUCGGUCGCUAUUUCUUGUUUUCAUCAUAUAGACAGAACAGCCCUGCUGCAAAGAUGGUCAAUGUACCUAACCCCGAAGAACCUUCUGUAAGAAGUGUGGCAAGCAUCAGCCUCACAAAGUGACACACUAUAAGAAGGGCAAGGAUUCCUUGUAUGCCCAGGGAAAGAGGCGCGAUGAUCAGAAUCAGAGUGGCUAUGGUGGGCAGACAAAGCCAAUUUUCUGGAAGGCUAAGACCACAAAGAAGAUUGUGCUAAUUAGGCUGGACUGUGUUGAGCCUAACUGCAGAUCCAAGAGGAUGCUGGCCAUUAAGAGAUGCAAGCAUUUUGAAUUAGGAGGAGAUAAGAUGAGAAAGGACCAAGUGAUCCAGUUCUAAACUUUGGAAUAUUUUUCUUUUAAUUUUGAAGAGAAAAUGUUGAAGCCAUAGAAAAAUUACCUGUAGGAAAAUAAAUACAGUGAUAUUCUUACACCAAAAAAAAAAAAGAAAAGAAAAGAAAAACUCCCAACCUCACGCUAACUUGCAUGAGCCAUAACCUACAAAAAACCUGUACUUCAGUUGUUCUAGAGUCAGGUGUCAAAUGUGAUGACUGUCCUAAGAGCUGGUGGUAAUUGUAGAAAACUGAAAUGCACUAGCGAAGCCCUAAGAAGGGUUACAUUGCCCUGUGUUCUUUUUCCUUAGUUCAAAAGCACAUGCAGAUUUGCAGGGAAAUUGAACCAUUAAUCCUUAAGGGCUCAUCAGGCUCCCACUUUAGAUUUCAAUUUACCCAGGUGUGGCAUGAAAAGGCGCUUUACAAUUUGGGAAGGGAACAAAAUAUGAAAAUGAAGGAAAAAUGGCAAAGCAAAAAGCAAGGAGCUACACACAUUUUCUAGAAUCUUAGUUUAAAUAGCCAUGAUCUGAUGUCCAUUGAGAGCAAUUGU